rnacentral:misc_RNA from 1 species
GUAGGACGUUUCUCCUUUUCAGGAAUGAAGCUUGUACUAGGAGCUGGCAAAUUGCUUGCAAUUGACGUUGUAGGUCCAACUGUAGAAGUUGUUGGAGAUGUUGACCGUCUAAGGGCUAGAGCAACUUGUUNGAGCACUUUGUGGCAGGGGUGGGGCCGGAGGAUAUACCCCGCCAUAUCCACUAUAGCUUGUUCCUCCAUUCACUAGUGGCUGGUGAUGCCCAACCAAGUUCAGUUGAGGCUGCCCAGGGCUGACCAUUGCCCCAGAUUGAUAUACAGUCCCAUGGGAAAAGGCAGAAGUUGUCCCAUGGAUUUCAACUGAAGAAGCUAGAAUACGUGGUGGGGAG